AGGUACCAACCGUACACUCCGUUUCCUCCGCGCCGCCCACGCAACUGACGACCGCUCGCCACGUUUUGUUAGCC
rnacentral:sRNA from 1 species